rnacentral:lncRNA from 1 species
GAGAUAUACUGGAUCACUAUAUUUUUUAAUUAGUGAUGGAUAGACAGUUUCAACAAUGGAUUUCAUGCUAUUUUCAUCAAAUUUCAAAGUGAAAUCUGAUGGAAGUUUGAUCAAUUCCUUGUUGAGAUUAUCAUAGAAUGAACCGUCAUCAAUUUGCAAUAGCCACGUGUCAAACAAAGAUAAGUUCUGAGCUUUUGACUCUGAAAUGUUGGUCCUGCAAAGUCUCAUAUUUUGUUUCAGUUCAAAUAUCUCAAAAAAUGGCCAUAGAUAAGAAGAAUUCAGAGAAGCAUGAACAAUAUCUGCUCUUCUCCCUUAAGGGACAACUGGGAGUAUUUAUCGAAUGUCACCCCC